GAUGAAGAACGUAGCGAAAUGCGAUAAGUAGUGUGAAUUGCAGAAUUCAGUGAAUCAUCGAAUCUUUGAACGCACAUUGCGCCCUGUGGUAUUCCGCAGGGCAUGCCUGUUCGAGCGUCAUUUCAACCCUCAAGCCUCGCUUGGUGUUGGGCCCUGCCCGCCGCGGCCGGCCCUAAAGAUAGUGGCGGCGCCGCCUGGCCCUCAGCGUAGUACAGCUCUCGCUCCAGGGUCCGGCGGUAGCCUGCCAGAACCCCCCAACUCUGUGGUUGACCUCGGAUCAGGUAGGGAUACCCGCUGAACUUAAGCAUAUCAAUAAGCGGAGGA
rnacentral:misc_RNA from 1 species